UCAUUUGAGAUUUUUUUUCAGAAACAGAAAAGCUCCCACUCUUUUCUCACUUUGUCGACAGCGACGAACAAACAACCUAUCUCACACGUUGACUCCUCUAUUUCUCCACGGCAGGUCUUCCUCCCAUACAUAGACUGAUAAGCUCUCCUCUCUCUCGACAGUAACAAAGGCUUGAUGCAAACGGCGUGCGGCAUCUUCAAUCUCAACCCAUGUAUAAUGUCUUACUGUUAUCUCGAGCCUAAAGUUUUGGAUGACAAAUUUGGCAAAACUAGAGUUUGCUGCCUUGGACCUUUCCGGGGACAACUAUUUAUCAUGGGUCCUGGAUGUCAAAAUUCAUCUACGAGCCAAUGGCUUCGGACAACUAUUUAUCAUGGGUCCUGGAUCAUUGCAUGGAUUCUUUCUUCGGAUGUUCAUUCUAAAGAAAUAAAAUCCCUUAUGAACA